GAUGAACGCUGGCGGCGUGCUUAACACAUGCCAGUCGAACGAUGAAGCCCAGCUUGCUGGGUGGAUUAGUGGCGAACGGGUGAGUAACACGUGAGUAACCUGCCCUUAACUCUGGGAUAAGCCUGGGAAACUGGGUCUAAUACCGGAUAGGAGCGUCCACCGCAUGGUGGGUGUUGGAAAGAUUUAUCGGUUUUGGAUGGACUCGCGGCCUAUCAGCUUGUUGGUGAGGUAAGGGCUCACCAAGGCGACGACGGGUAGCCGGCCUGAGAGGGUGACCGGCCACACUGGGACUGAGACACGGCCCAGACUCCUACGGGAGGCAGCAGUGGGGAAUAUUGCACAAUGGGCGCAAGCCUGAUGCAGCGGCGCCGCGUGGGGGAUGACGGCCUUCGGGUUGUAAACCUCUUUCAGUAGGGAAGAAGCGAAAGUGACGGUACCUGCAGAAGAAGCACCGGCUAACUACGUG
rnacentral:rRNA from 1 species